GCAAGGCGGAUAGAGUGAGCGAUGAAUUUCGUUCAAGUUAUGUAGUAUUGAUCAAUACAGGGUACAACGGGGCUGAUCACCCUCCGUGCCCGUAAGUUAUGACGGUUUGAGGAUAGAAUUCCGCUAAACCUUUUCGAAAAUGAAAAGAAUGUUCAUAGUAUGUUUCUUAAACCCUAUUCAUGGGUAGAGCCAGAGCCAAAUUUAAAGAAUUUGAAAGAGAGUUGUUAUGUGAAUUUUUUUAUCAGUACAGAUUACUUCACAACUUUCAAUUCGUUGUAGAAGUG
rnacentral:lncRNA from 1 species